AGAACGCCAUGGCUGUGCAGGUAGUGCAGCCCCUCCACCAGCUGCUGGAUGUAGACCUUGACCUGCGGCAAGGGCUGCUGUUCAGGCGGUCCAGCAGCUCCUCGGAUGAGCACCUAGGAUCCCAUCAAGGAAAAGCAGGCUUGGGAGGCUGAAACCUGCCUGUCCCCAGAAACCCACACUCACAAUGAGGCAGCCAGGUCUAUGGGAGUGGGAAGCGGCUGGUAUGGGCAAAGGUGACCACCCUGAUCCCCAUGGAACCCAAUGCUGUGGUGUUGACGGGAGCUGCUCCGUGGACCCAAGACUAUUGAACCACACCCACCCAGGGACAGGGUCCUAUGGACACCAAGUUCACCGCCACUUGCCUCUCCCCAGUGGAGGGUUCUGGCCCCUCUGAGGAGACACGGUGAGUAGAAUGUGGGGGUCCCAGGCUGGGGCAGGGCUGGGACAGGCUGGGAGGCCUUUGCAGAUGUGCAAAUGCCCCCCAGCCCUGGGCAGGGGGCAUGGGGA